rnacentral:rRNA from 1 species
GUCCACGCCGUAAACGAUGGAUACUAGCUGUUGGGAGCAAUCUCAGUUGCUAAGCGAAAGUGAUAAGUAUCCCACCUGUGGAGUACGUUCGCAAGAAUGAAACUCAAAGGAAUUGACGGGGGCCCGCACAAGCGGUGGAGCAUGUGGUUUAAUUCGAUGAUACGCGAGGAACCUUACCAAGGCUUAAAUGUAGAUUGACCGGUUUGGAAACAGAUCUUUCGCAAGACAAUUUACAAGGUGCUGCAUGGUUGUCGU